CCUACGGGAGGCAGCAGUGGGGAAUAUUGGGCAAUGGGCGAAAGCCUGACCCAGCAACGCCGCGUGAAGGAAGAAGGCUUUCGGGUUGUAAACUUCUUUUGACAGGGAAGAGCAGAAGACGGUACCUGUCGAAUAAGCCACGGCUAACUACGUGCCAGCAGCCGCGGUAAUACGUAGGUGGCAAGCGUUGUCCGGAUUUACUGGGGGUAAAGGGCGUGUAGCCGGGCUGACAAGUCAGAUGUGAAAUCCGGGGGCUCAACCCCCGAACUGCAUUUGAAACUGUUGGUCUUGAGGAUCGGAGAGGCAGGCGGAAUUCCUGGUGUAGCGGUGAAAUGGGUAGAUAUUAGGAGGAACACCAGGGGCGAAGGCGGCCUGCUGGACGACAACUGACGGUGAGGCGCGAAAGCGUGGGGAGCAAACAGGAUUAGAUACCCUGUAGUC
rnacentral:rRNA from 1 species